CAGUAGCCGCGGGAAUACAGAGGGUGCGAGCGUUAAUCGGAUUUACUGGGCGUAAAGCGUGCGUAGGCGGCUUUUUAAGUCGGAUGUGAAAUCCCUGAGCUUAACUUAGGAAUUGCAUUCGAUACUGGGAAGCUAGAGUAUGGGAGAGGAUGGUAGAAUUCCAGGUGUAGCGGUGAAAUGCGUAGAGAUCUGGAGGAAUACCGAUGGCGAAGGCAGCCAUCUGGCCUAAUACUGACGCUGAGGUACGAAAGCAUGGGGAGCAAACAGGAUUAGAGACCCCAGUAGUCCCUGUCUCUUAUAA
rnacentral:rRNA from 1 species